CAGUAGCCACGGGAAUACGUAGGUGGCAAGCGUUGUCCGGAUUUAUUGGGCGUAAAGCGAGCGCAGGCGGUUCCUUAAGUCUGAUGUGAAAGCCCACGGCUCAACCGUGGAAGGUCAUUGGAAACUGGGGAACUUGAGUGCAGAAGAGGAGAGUGGAAUUCCAUGUGUAGCGGUGAAAUGCGUAGAUAUAUGGAGGAACACCAGUGGCGAAGGCGACUCUCUGGUCUGUAACUGACGCUGAGGCUCGAAAGCGUGGGGAGCAAACAGGAUUAGAGACCCCUGUAGUCCCUGUCUCUUAUAA
rnacentral:rRNA from 1 species